ACGAACGCUGGCGGCGUGCUUAACACAUGCAAGUCGAACGGAAAGGCCCUGCUUUUGUGGGGUGCUCGAGUGGCGAACGGGUGAGUAACACGUGAGUAACCUGCCCUUGACUUUGGGAUAACUUCAGGAAACUGGGGCUAAUACCGGAUAGGAGCUCCUGCUGCAUGGUGGGGGUUGGAAAGUUUCGGCGGUUGGGGAUGGACUCCCGGCUUAUCAGCUUGUUGGUGGGGGAGUGGCUUACCAAGGCUUUGACGGGUAGCCGGCCUGAGAGGGUGACCGGCCACAUUGGGACUGAGAUACGGCCCAGACUCCUACGGGAGGCAGCAGUGGGGAAUAUUGCACAAUGGGCUGAAGCCUGAUGCAGCAACGCCGCGUGCGGGAUGACGGCCUUCGGGUUGUAAACCGCUUUCGCCUGUGACGAAGCGUGAGUGACGGUAAUGGGUAAAGAAGCACCGGCUAACUACGUG
rnacentral:rRNA from 1 species